rnacentral:misc_RNA from 1 species
ACAUUAUCGAAACCCGAACGUCCGAGAGGGGGAAACCCCCCUUCCGGGCUUUCGAACCCUUUCAACACCCUUGUGCACUCGCUGUAGGUCCCUCGGGAUCUACGUCUCCCUUCGAACUCGCAUGUCUACAGAAUGUAUGCCUCGUGUCUCGGCCUCGACCCCCAGGGUCCCGCGUCGAAGACCGUGAAAUCAAUACAACUUUCAGCAACGGAUCUCUUGGCUCUCGCAUCGAUGAAGAACGCAGCGAAUCGCGAUAAGUAAUGUGAAUUGCAGAUUUUCCGUGAAUCAUCGAAUCUUUGAACGCACCUUGCGCUCCUCGGUAUUCCGAGGAGCAUGCCUGUUCGAGUGUCAUCGAAAUCUCGAAUCGAAGCUUGGACCUGGUCCGAGCUUCGUUCGGACAGUGGGAGUCUGCGGGCGAGCCUCGCUACGUCCGCUCUCCUCAAAAGCAUUAGCCG